CACUAAAUGACUGAAAGUAAGUGUAAGUCUUUUAAACUUAUAAUGGUAACUAACAACUACCUUUAGUGG
rnacentral:tRNA from 1 species